rnacentral:rRNA from 1 species
UACGUAGGGGGCAAGCGUUGUCCGGAAUCAUUGGGCGUAAAGAGCGUGUAGGCGGCCCGAUAAGUCCGCUGUGAAAGUCCAGGGCUCAACCCUGGAAUGCCGGUGGAUACUGUCGGGCUCGAAUCCGGAAGAGGUGAGUGGAAUUCCUGGUGUAGCGGUGAAAUGCGCAGAUAUCAGGAGGAACACCGAUGGCGAAGGCAGGUCUCUGGGCAUUAACUGACGCUGAGGAGCGAAAGCGUGGGGAGCGAACAGG